GAUGAACGCUGGCGGCGUGCCUAAUACAUGCCAGUCGAGCGAACGGACGAGAAGCUUGCUUCUCUGAUGUUAGCGGCGGACGGGUGAGUAACACGUGGAUAACCUACCUAUAAGACUGGGAUAACUUCGGGAAACCGGAGCUAAUACCGGAUAAUAUUUUGAACCGCAUGGUUCAAAAGUGAAAGACGGUCUUGCUGUCACUUAUAGAUGGAUCCGCGCUGCAUUAGCUAGUUGGUAAGGUAACGGCUUACCAAGGCAACGAUGCAUAGCCGACCUGAGAGGGUGAUCGGCCACACUGGAACUGAGACACGGUCCAGACUCCUACGGGAGGCAGCAGUAGGGAAUCUUCCGCAAUGGGCGAAAGCCUGACGGAGCAACGCCGCGUGAGUGAUGAAGGUCUUCGGAUCGAAAAACUCUGUUAUUAGGGAAGAACAUAUGUGUAAGUAACUGUGCACAUCUUGACGGUACCUAAUCAGAAAGCCACGGCUAACUACGUG
rnacentral:rRNA from 1 species